CUCGUGUAGGCCGCAGUGAAGCCUGAACUCCAGUAGGGCCUAAGCCAGCCAGGCAGGAGGAGGCAGCCAGAGAGGCCUCCACUGUUCUCUGCAGCAGAAGACCCCCUGCUGCCAGCCAGCCACCAGCGAUGCAUAGGGAUGUGGCAAGGCUAUGCGUGCCAACAAGGGAGGCACCUGAUCGGCUGGGCACUGGUUGGCUGCUAUUCGCCGGACUCAUGGCAGCAAGGAGCAGCAGGCAAGGGCCAGCAUCAUGAGUUGGCAUCAUUGAGCAACUGCUGAAGAUCCAGGGUGACCAGAAGGGCCCACUACAGGAACCUCUAAAGUUUCCUCUGUGCCCAUAGCUGUCAUGUUGUGGUGGCAGAGUGAAUCUCUCAGGGCCUACCCAGCUAGGAGAAGGCCCAUGAAGGGCAGUUUACUGGAGUCCUCUGAAACCUGGAGCCAGCCCUGGUUUUGCUUAACAUCUAGGCUGAAGAAGAGUUCUGGAGAAUUCUUGUUGACUAUUCUAUGAGUUUGAAAAUUGGAUUGUUUUUAAAAAGUAUACCCCACCUUUUAGGAACUCACAAUGCAGCAAACACAAUUAGGUAAAAUAAUAAAAUACAGUAGAUAACAAAAUAAUAAAAGUAGACAGCAGCUAAGUUAAACAGUAAGUUUAUCAGUAAGUGGGUCUUCAAGGGUCAUUUAAAAUAGUAAGGGUUGUGGUCAGAAUGAUUUAGUGAUAAGAAAAAUAUUGCCUUGCUUUGACUUUUGAAAUAUGUCUGUGUUGCUAGAUAGAUAGAUAGAUAGAUACUUUCCCUGUAGGUUUGUAUUUGUUUUUUACAAUGCUCAAAAGUCAGAGAGAAGUAGUUGGCCUUAGAGGCUGCAUUCUCAGUAAUUUGCACAGAAGCAGUUCUGGGAAUGAUGAAUGUACAAUGAGAAAGGCGGGAGGCCGCAGAAGGGGGCCACUUCAAUGGGUGAUGAACUGGCUGUACAAAGAACUGGCUGAGAUUUUGUGUAAGCCCCAGUUACUGGCAGAAUUUUUUUGUAAAAGAGACAAAGAACUUCAUAUUAAUAUACAUAACAGCAUUAAAUGUAGAAUGAGUAUUCAGAAACCUUGCUUUCCACAGACUUACUUAAAUGAUAAUGAGAUGUAUGUGUUCUAGAAAAAGAAAAAUAUUAAUUUUAGACAUGGGGAAAUGCUGGAAUGUUUCUUCUCUUCCUCUCAUCUCUGAGGCACUGCACUGACUUUCUGUUUUCACUUCUGCUUUGCAUUUUUUUUUUGUUGUUGUUCUUUAAUACACUAAAUCUUGAACAAAUCAAGAUGCGGGUGAAAAUCUGACAAACGGGAUUGAUUUGUUUUAUAAUAUUUCAGGUUCUAAAAAUAUGCUCAGAGGCUUCUGCAUGAAUAUGCAUACAGUAUUAACUUUCCAUAGCUGGAUCAGAUAUAUAAAAAGGAAAUGACUGAUUUAAACAACAGAAAGCUAAAGUUAGAGACACAACAUUAAUACAUAAAGGAAGACUAAGAAGGAAGGGGAAAAAGUUGAACUGACAGGCUAGUAUCACUGACAAAAGGCUAUGGAUUUUUGCAUUUUAUUCGUAGAUGCUUAUGACAUUUAAGAAUAGAUUUAUCAGCCAUAUGUUUAGUUCAAACAUGUAUGUUAUUCACUCAGUGACUGCACCAUGAAGUGGUGAUUUGCAUGUAUGAACUGGCCAUCAUAGAUCAAAUACCACCGACUAAGAUUUCAUAUUGCAUCACAUAACCUCAGGUACAAUGCUUUUCAAUGAAAUCAGUUCACAGAUUCAGAUGAGACUGAGUCACUGAGAGAAUAUUAAUGCAUGAAGCAGACCUGUUAUCCUACCAAAUCAUUGACUGGAAUUAUCUCUGUGCCUGUUAGAUCUCACAAAAUAUGGCUAGACAUUCUUCAUUGAGUAACCAGGUGUAAGCUGAAAUUUGAGGCAUUUGUAAUUUUAUUAAGCUACUUAAACGAACCCAUCUUUGAAAAGCAUGAGGCAUGUUGAAAACCAUCAACAAACCAGCAAUCACUAGCAGCAGCAGUCAUAAUCCUUGCCAAAUUCUGGAAAUAGAAAUUGCCGCUGUUGCUGUCAAAAUAGUUGAAGAGGCUGGCAGAAAGUAGCUGAAAUGUUCUUGAAGCCUAUUCUACACAUCUUAAUAAUGUAUCUAGAAUGUAUGUGCAGGGAAAUGGAAAAAUGAACAGAGACCCAGGGGGAAAAAAGAUUUUUUGAAAAAGAUAUGGAGACUGAUGCAUUAGUAACAAUGACAGCUUAUCUUGAAACAGCAAAAAGAUAUAACUGCAUAAAGAAGUUGUGGAAACCUGUAGUUGUGUAGAUUAUGAAUGUGUUUUUAGUAAAGGGGACUGGAUAAGAAUUUACGGUGAACAAACUGUAGUAAAUACGAAUUAUAUAUAGGAAUUGUCUAGUGUGAUUAUGAAUCGAUUGUAAUAGGUGUUGUAGGUUGGGAGUGUGUUUACAUUUUGUCUAUUUGUAACAGAUAUAUAUAAAAUUGUCUAUUUGUGACAAUUAAUGUAUAUUAAAUAUAUAUAUAUAUAUAUGUUUGAAAGGCAGACAAUUUUUAAAGGUGCUUUUAAUUUUAAAAAAUAAGUUGAUCAGUCUCAUAUAUAUUCAAGAAGGGAGGAUUAAUUGUGAUUUGAAAUAGAUGUGCUCUUUUUGUAAUUAUUAUAAUUACCUUCCUUUAGAGAUGUGUAUUUUUUCUAUUUCAUAAUGAUGUGAUGAAUAUCUUUGUUACAAUUAUUUUCAUUGUAUUUGAAAUUCAUUAAAAUUCAUUCAUAAAA